GACGAACGCUGGCGGCGUGCCUAAAACAUGCAAGUCGAACGAGGCCUUCGGGUCUAGUGGCGAACGGCGGAGUAAUACAUGAACAACGUGCCCCUAAGUCUGGGACAAACGCAGAAAUGUUAUAAAUACCAGAUGUGGCCGGAGAAGGACAUCCUUUUCCGAUUAAAAGGUUUUUCGCUUAGGGAGCGGUUCAUGGCCUAUCAGCUAGAUGGUGGGGUAACGGCCUACCAAGGCGACGACGGGUAGGGGGUCUAAGAGGAUGAUCCCCCCGAGUGGGACUGAGACACGGGCCCACACACCUACGGGUGGCAGCAGUUGGGAAUCUUGCACAAUGGGGGAAACCCUGAUGCAGCGACGCCGCGUGAGGAUGACGGAUCUAGGGUCUGGUAAAACUCCGUUUUUUUCAGGGAAAG
rnacentral:rRNA from 1 species